rnacentral:rRNA from 1 species
CUGAACUUAAGCAUAUCAGUAAGCGGAGGAAAAGAAACCAACAGGGAUUGCCCCAGUAACUGCGAGUGAAGCGGCAACAGCUCAAAUUUGAAAUCUGGCCUUCCCCCCCCUCGCUUCCCUCCCGGGGGGCGGGGGGGGUAGGGGCCCGAGUUGUAAUUUGAAGAGGAUGCUUCGGGCGCGGCGCCUUCCGAGUCCCCUGGAACGGGGCGCCACAGAGGGUGAGAGCCCCGUCUGGUCGGACGCCAAGCCCGCGAGAAGCUCCCUCGACGAGUCGAGUAGCUUGGGAAUGCUGCUCUAAGCGGGAGGUAAAUGCCUUCUAAAGCUAAAUAUCUGCCAGAGACCGAUAGCGCACAAGUAGGGUGACCGAAAGCUGAAAAGAACCUUGGAAAGAGGGUUAAAGAGCACGUGAAAUUGUUGAAAGGGAAGCGCCUGCGAGCCAGAACGCGGACGUGGCGGAUCAGCCGGCGCUCUGCGCCGGUCUAUUCCGCCGCGCCCGGGCCAGCGCCGGCUCCUGCGGGGGGACAGAGGUUCGGGGAACGUAGCUGCCUCGGCAGUGUUACAGCCCCGUUCGGACUGCGCCCGCGGGGGCCGAGGACCCGCGCCGUCACCGGCAAGGGCGCUGGCGUAAUGGGCGCAGGCGGCCCGUCUUGAAACACGGACCAAGGAGUCGAGGUCUGGCGCGAGUGUACGGGCGUAAAAAACCCUGACGCGGAAUGAAAGUGAACGCAGGUGGGAGCCUUUGGGCGCACCACUGACCGAUGCGCCGUGCUCGGACGGAUUUGAGUAGGAGCGCCAGGCCUCGGACCCGAAAGAUGGUGAACUAUGCUCGGAUAGGGUGAAGCCAGAGGAAACUCUGGUGGAGGCUCGCAGCGGUUCUGACGUGCAAAUCGAUCGUCAAAUCUGAGCAUGGGGGCGAAAGACCAAUCGAACCAUCUAGUAGCUGGUUACCGCCGAAGUUUCCCUCAGGAUAGCGGUGUUGGGCCUCGGUUUUAUGGGGUAGAGCGAAUGAUUAGGGACCCGGGGGCUGCUUCCAGCCUUCAUCCAUUCUCAAACUUCGAAUACGUAAGAAGCCCCCGUUUCUUGACUGAACGAGGGCCGUCGAACGUGCCAACACUAGUGGGCCAUUUUUGGUAAGCA